CGGAAUGGAAACAAUGCAAUUCAAUGGUAUCAACUGGAAUGGAAUGCAUUGGAAUGGAAUGGAAUGGAAUCAACACGAGUGGAAUGGAAUGGAAUGGAAUGGAAUGGAAUGGAAUGGAAUGGAAUGGAACGGAACGGAACGGAAUGGAAUGGAAUGGAAUGGAAUGGGAUGGAAUGGAAUGGAAUGGAAUGAACCCGAAUGGAAUGGAAUGGAAAAGAAUGCAAUGGAAUAAAAUGGAAUGGAAUCAACCCGAAUGGAAUGGAACGGAAUGGAAUGGAAAGGAAUGGAAUGGAAUGGAAUGGAAUGGAAUGGAAUGGAAUGGAAUGGAACAGAACGGAAAGGAAUGGAAUGGAAU
rnacentral:lncRNA from 1 species